GUGGGGCCAGGCGGUGGUGGGCACCGCUGGGGUGGGCACAGCAGCCAUGCAGAGCAGGCAGCUGACCCCGUGCCACCCUCUUCCCCAG
ensembl:miRNA